AGGAAGGGGUGACAUUGUCCAAAAAAGAAAUGUAUUCAUUACCUGACUUAUGAAAUGGUAACUCCUUCAUAUAGUACCUUAAUAAUAACAAUAAAAUUAUGUUUAACAAAAAGAACCAAAAGGCCCAACUUUCAGCACCCAUGUUGUAUGUCAAGUUACAGGCAGGGUAGUUAUAGAAGGCAAGGUAGCAAGAUUUCCUAUCAGAUUUUAGCAGACUAGAAGAAAGCUUAUACUCUGAACAAAGGAGACACAAGGUACACUCUCACCAUACAUGCUCUUGCAGAUAGUGCCAGGAAGGCCUUAGGCAAGCAAAGCAACGGAAUGUUUCUUUGGAAACCUUCAAUCACGUUAGACUCCAAUAAACCUUGAUACCCAAGCAGGGAGAUCAAGCAACCACAUAGGCCAUUUAGACCUCCAGGUGGCUACAAAAGAAGAGUUUCCUAGUCUAGACAUCAGGACACUGAGUGGGAACCUCCCAUUUGUAACCUGUGAGUAUUCUCAAGGACAGGUGGGUUCUAGAGGAUGAACAGCCCCUCCCAGCAUUUUUAAUUAACUGGUUAUUGGAUUUAUUGGUCAGCUCAGUGGGAAAUCAAAACCUACUACUUGGGGGCUAUUUUUAUAGCCUUCUGGAGUUGGGUUUCUUUAGAACAGACACCUGGCAUCUUUCCUAGAAAUGGUUAGAUCUAUAUCCCGCAACCGCCCCCCCCCCCUUUUAAAUAGCAACCAGUGAGUGGAUUUGAGCAUUGCAGGCAUCUGGCAGUAAUCAGAUAUAAUGAAAGUCCCUCUCCCUUCCCACUCUAGUGGUACAGCAUCUGCCCUAUCACUUUGCCCCUCCGAAUCCAGCAGCAGGUCACAGGCAAUGGUGGUGUGGUUACAAUACAAACUAAGCUCUGUAAAACCUUAGAAGCAAAGGGCUCUAUCCAUCAUCAAUACUUUUAUACGCUAUAAAACUAGGAUAAGGAGUCUGUAAAUACACAAAAGUUGAUCUUAUCAACUCUCCAUCCCUCACCUCUGAGGCUCAGCUCAUUUCCUCUUUUUCUUCCUUCAGAUAAAGCAUGCCUUAGGAAAAAAGGAGAGCCUUUGGCCAUCGGAGAUCUCUUUACAACACACACCAACAAUUUCUGUGCAGAUCUUUGAGUGGCAAAUUGUAACCUGAUUUUCCUUUUGCAAUAAAAUCACCAUGCAUUACAUUGACAUCCUGGAGACAGAAAUUCUGUUCAGUUGAGUUUGGGUCACGCAGGCACUCACUUUAAUGUGGGAGAUGAAUUAAACUCAUCCUUGGGAAAUCCAAGGGUAAUGACUGAAACACAAUGUGAUUGAGCUAAUUAUCAACCAGGUGUGUUCUAAGGAGAUGAUGAGUCAAUCUAUUAUGGGCUAAGUGUACAAGCCAGUUUGGGGGUGGGGGGAGAAGUUAGGGGAAUAUGGUGCACAUUGCAGUUUCCCAGAGGGCAAAGGACAUUUCUGCACCUUUGUCCAACCACCUAAGACAGCUCAAGAUCCUGGAAACUUUACUAAACACCCAAGACUCUAGGGAGCUGGCCGUCUUACAAAAUCCCACAGCUGUCUACAAACAACUGGCUUAGACCUUCUGGUACCAGUCAGCUUUUCAUUUGUAUAUGUCUAAGGAAAGUGCUCAAAGACACACAUAUGGUUUUUUGCAUUCUCCAUGAUGUCUGACCUUGUUAAGUAUUUACACAUUAAAGUCUUUGGGAUAAAAAAAAAUAACUUGUUAAAUACUUACACAUUGCUGUACGGGCAUUUCUUACAUUUGUUUGUGUCUGCGAAUGGAAUACUGUAUAUGAAACAUAAACUGUCUAAUGGCUCUGGUUCAUUAUAAACGAGCCCUCUGUCUGACAGGGUUGUGUAUUAAACUCAUGAUAUCCCUGAGCAAUCUUGGCAUGUAUGAGUGAACAGAGUCCUGCUUCUUUCUCUGAGGCCCCAUUAACCUUCCCCAAGCUGUCCCUUGUUCCUUCUGCCAUGCGGUAUAUUGCUAUUCUUUCCAUGCACACAUCUCCUUUGUCUCCCCUGCUUCCAGCACUUUAGAAACCUGGUAUAUGCAGCCACGAUCAACUUAUGUCAGCCUAUGUCUCCCCUAAAAUUCAAACUGUAAUCCUUAGUCUUCUUCGGUGAUGUCCAGUCUUCUCGGCAAUUAGGACCUAGUGAAACAAGUCUGAAACAUUACCAAAUGUAAAUUCACCCUCCAUUACCACCCAAGCCAACGCCUAGUUCAAGAAACACUCCAUAAACAGCUCAAUGGAAUUUCAGGAUUCUAGUUUGCCCACCAGCUAUAGGAAGGUCCUGACUCUGUAGAUGGCUGGUAAGGAAUUUUCACAAGUGUCCCAAUGGUUAUUUAAUUCCACAUCAAAUAAAGCACAGAAGCAGAAAACACGCAUGCCAAUUGGCACAGAGGACCUGCUUUCAAGUAUUCAAGCCAGUAUACCCCUAGUAAAGACCCCUUUGUUUUUCGGCACAGGAAAAUUUCAAUAUUUGAAUGUUAAAUGUUGAAUUCUCAUUUAGAAGAUAACAAUAAAUCAAAUGUUUGGCACAGAGGAGCCUGUGUAAAAAGUCCAUGAGAAAACAGAUAUGUUUUCAAUAAAGAAACAUUACAAUUAAGUAAAGGUAGCAAGAACUUUCUGACAACUCUACAUAUUUUUUUCUUAAAAGUCACAAGCUAUCAAGCCACCAUGACAUCAGUGCCUGAAAAAAAAAUACCAAAAGGAAUAUCAAUCACCUCCCAGAGAGAACUGUUUCACAAU